GACGAACGCUGGCGGCGUGCUUAACACAUGCAAGUCGAACGAUGAAGCCCAGCUUGCUGGGUGGAUUAGUGGCGAACGGGUGAGUAACACGUGGGCAACCUGCCCCAAACUCUGGGAUAACGCCUCGAAAGAGGUGCUAAUACCAGAUACGAACUAGACAGACAUCUGUACUAGUUGGAAAGUUUUUCGGUUUGGGAUGGGCCCGCGGCCUAUCAGCUUGUUGGUGAGGUAACGGCUCACCAAGGCUACGACGGGUAACCGGCCUGAGAGGGCGACCGGUCACACUGGGACUGAGACACGGCCCAGACUCCUACGGGAGGCAGCAGUGGGGAAUAUUGCGCAAUGGGCGAAAGCCUGACGCAGCGACGCCGCGUGAGGGAUGAAGGUCUUCGGAUCGUAAACCUCUUUCAGUAGGGACGAAGCGAAAGUGACGGUACCUAAAGAAGAAGCACCGGCUAACUACGUGCCAGCAGCCGCGGUAA
rnacentral:rRNA from 1 species